rnacentral:piRNA from 1 species
UGUCUAUAAAAGGCGUGGUGAUAGAU